CUCUCCCCACGGGCCUGUGACUGUAAUCUGCUGCUGGAUGGUCUGUCCAGGGAUUAAAUGGGUGCUAUUCGGCGGCCAUCCCGUCUGACCUCAGUGCACUUAACCUGGCAUGCUCUUAAGACUAUUUGUCUACCUGUUUAGGAGCAGGAAGUGAAAGCAUAACAAGGGCCAUAUGGGGUCAACGGCAAAUGAUGUAAUGUAAUUGGUAGUUGUAGUAUGUUUUGUCAGUUUUAAAGAUAAAACAACAAUAAAGGGAGUAGGAGUUGUUCUACUAAACCUUGUUAAAGUUUUGGACCUCACUGACAAGGAUCUGAAAAAAAUGUGAAAUGCAGGAGCCAUGUAAAGCAACGUUGUAGUUACGGU